UGGGCGGUAGCCAAGCGGUAAGGCACAUGACUUUGACUCAUGCAUUCCCCUAGUUCGAAUCUAGGUCGCCCAG
rnacentral:tRNA from 1 species